AACGAACGCUGACGGCGUGCCUAACACAUGCAAGUCGAACGAGAAAGCCCGUUUCGGCGGAUGAGUAAAGUGGCGCACGGGUGAGUAACACGUGAAUAAUCUACCUUUAAGUGGGGAUAACAUUCCGAAAGGGGUGCUAAUACCGCAUAUUAUUCUCUUUUCCUCGGAAUGGAGAGUCAAAGGUGGCCUCUGAUGCAAGCUGUCGCUUAAAGAUGAGUUCGCGUCCCAUUAGCUAGUUGGUAGGGUAAUAGCCUACCAAGGCGACGAUGGGUAGCUGGUCUGAGAGGAUGAUCAGCCACACUGGAACUGAGAUACGGUCCAGACUCCUACGGGAGGCAGCAGUGAGGAAUAUUGCGCAAUGGGGGAAACCCUGACGCAGCAACGCCGUGUGGGUGAUGAAGGCCUUCGGGUCGUAAAGCCCUGUCAGAUGGGAAGAAAAGUACUUAGCUAAUACCUAAGUAUUUCGACGGUACUAUCAGAGGAAGCACCGGCCAACUCCGUGCCAGCAGCCGCGGUAAUAC
rnacentral:rRNA from 1 species